rnacentral:lncRNA from 1 species
UGGGUGUCGGGGGAGAUUUGGGGUCAGCUGGGCGAUUCACUGGCGGCCUAUGGAGGUCGCUGUAGACUUGGGGUGCAGCGCGAGCGGGGCAGGGGGACGCGAGGCUGCUCUUGGCCCUAGGGGAGAGGGGCCCCUGGGAGGCCGUGUGGAGGAUUUGUCUGCAGCGGUUAGGACUCUGCUGAUCCAUGAUUUGGAUGCCUUGUGGUGCCAGGCGCAAGCUACGCUGGUCCCCGCCUCCUGUGCCCUGCAGGUGUGGAUGCUGCUGGCUGUGCACCGUGGGGUUCCUGAGCGUGCAGUCACCUGGGAACUGCUCUUGUCUAAUUCUCCAACCCUCAGCCUGCCUCUGGGAGCUGCAUGCUGUCUGUGCUGAGCAGUUCGGUGUAG